ACAGGCAGAGGCGGCAGCGAGCGCGGAGAGGCCGGGUGGAGAGGCAAGUCGGUCGGGGUGACGGGGUGACGGGGCGUCGCGGCGCCCCGGGCGGGAGAGCCAGGGUCCCCCAGGCACCUGGGCGGGGGAGUGGCUUAUCCGGGAACGGAAGCCGUGAAGGCAGGUGUGAUGGAGGCAAAGAAGAAUACACCUCGGAGCGGCCCAGGACCCGCCGCGCCAGGCGAGGCGCCGGCGAGGAGGCGGCAGCACAAGGGGGUAGUGGUGAAUUGUGUGGAAUUGCUGAUGCUGGAGAUGAAACCAGAAUAUGAGGAUACUCUAAACUGAUUUGUAGCACAGUAAAAAUGGAAGAAUAAGAGCUUCCCCUGCAGCUCACCUCUGCCUCUGUCCACUGGGGAAAACAUCUCCAGGUGCUAAUAAAAAAGAUAACUCUGGCCAUGGUGUGUGAGGUGAAGAGGCAGCUCAGCAAAAUCACUACUGAGAACCUGGGCAGGCUUAGGCAAUGUGACCUGAAGAGCUGAAGUGUGCAGUCCACAGAGAGGAAGAAUUGGGCAGAAUGCAAAAUUGAAGUGGAUGCGCAUAGAGGAAAAUCUUCCUGACAAAGAUUAAUUAGUUAUGAGACUAACUCUCCAAGGGAAGGACGAAGGACCAAGUAGGGAGGACAGUGGUCCCCAAGCCCGCCUCUCUGUCUGCUCCGAGCACCUUACUGGGAAUUCUGCAGUCAAAAUGACCUACUCACAGAGUCCCAAGCAACCCUUCACUCACCAAAGGAAACCAGAGGGGAAACGGACUGCUCAAAACUGAAGUGAAACUUAAACAAAAUACCUGAAAAUUAACCCAUUCUUCAAACAUAGAUAUGAUGAGAAACCAAGGAUCACCAGUUCCUGGAUGAACAAAUGAAUUAGUAAGGAAAAGGAUUGAAGUCUCUGGAACAAACUUCUGCCAGUGGAAUGCCACUCUAGAUGUAAGAAUGGCAAACAUAAGAGACAGGGAAUCGUCUGAGAGGUGCAUAUCAAAAGCACAUAUGUAAGUUCUGGAGGCUUAGCUGAUGGAGAUAUUCACUGCACCCUUGGAGAAAGAUUACCCAUGUUUUGUAGAGACAUAACAUUACUAAGGUUUGAAGGAAGGGGAGGAUUUGCAUAUACCGAUGUUGGCAGUGGGAUCGGAGGAAGAAUUCAGAGAGAAGGUUUCCAAGUUGAGAGCAACAUUAGCAAAACACGAAGCAGUAAACAUGCUGGAUCUGAGGAAACAGCUGAGGUCAAUCUUGUUGUAUCAGAAUGUGUGAAAACAAAGGAGCGGGAAAGGGCUAGAGGGACUGCUGGGGCUAAACCCAAGAGGUUCGCUCACAAAGGUGAUUUUACUCACCUGUUCCCUGUACUUUGCCAAACUAAUGAACUUAUCACCAAAAACCACUCUCAGAGGGAAACUUUGACAAUAAAAAUGAACAGAUGAGAGAGCUUAAAAAACAAAACAUGUCCCUUUCCCCCAAAGACCAGUAAGCCCAGGGAAACUCAAAUUCUGGUUCCAGUUUUCACUCAUUCAUUCAUUCAUUCAAGUGGGGGAGGGGCAGAGGAAGAGGGAGAAAGAAUCUUCAGCAGGUUCCAUGCUCAGCACAGGGCCUGACGCUGGGC